UUCCAUUUCAGAAAUGUUUUGUGUCCAAACUAAUACCUGCAGAGUCUGGGCUAUCAGAAGGUGUUAGGAGGCAGAUCUCCUAUGAUGUCAUUCUAGCUGUACCCUGAGUGUUACCCUGGAGCAGGCAAUCAUUCUGGCUCGGAGCCACGGGCUGCCACCUCGCUAUAUCAUGCAAGCUACAGAUGUCAUGCGCAAGCAGGGUGCAAGAGUGCAAAAUACAGCCAAGAACUUGGGAGUGAGGGAUCGAACACCACAGUCUGUUCCAAGAUUAUACAAGCUGUGCCAGCCACCACCACCAGUUGGAGAAGAAUGAGGAAAACAAUCAAAUAAUGGCUUUUAGGACACUGGAACUGUAUGACAAAAGCUAACUGCACUAUAGCAGUACAUGCCUGGGCCUUUGAUUAAUAAAUAAAAAACAAACAAUCUUUACUCAGGAUAAAGAAAAGAAAUAUCAUAUUCUCUAUUGGCAUUGAAAAAUGACUUUCUAAAAGCAUUUCUGGAACUUGUGCCCUCCAGCCGUAUGCCAGUAGAACGGGAGUCUUCCUUAGGAAUUUUACACUGGAAUCAGAUUCAUUUUGAUGUGUUUUGUUCAGCCACACAGUAGGCAUAGCCAGCAGAUUGAAAACAAAUGUCUUGUUCAGAGAGAAUGGCUUCACUUGUGCACUCCUGAGGAUGUGUUCUUGUGGAAGGAAUAAAAGCCUAAAUAAACUAGGCCUGGUAAUGAGCAUACACCUCAUAUUUGGCCCUUUGCACUGAUAAUCCCUUUUUAUUUUUCCUGUCAGCAUCAUAACCUCUGAAAAUAGUGACAUCAGUGUUUCAAGGAUAUAAUGUAAAUGAAAUUGAAAGAUUAAAAACUCACCUCAGAAGUUAUGCCUACUGGCUGCAGACUGACUACUUCUAUAAACGUCCCCAUGUAAUCACAGUAAACUCAGCCACUGCUGUACCCUUUUAGAAGGAAUACCUAUGUGGCAUACGAAGUUGAUGUUUACCCCUAUUUUCACUGCCAUUAUAAUUAGACUGAAUCUCAGACUCUGUGUAGUGGAUGUUUUACAGUAUUUUGCCUCAGAAUUUCAGAGUUUUUCAGAGCUGUGUAUAUUCUUGUACAGCAUUAGACUAGUGAAUCAGUAGUGAGGUAUCGACAGUGAGAUGCUAUUGUUAUGUUAAACUGGAAAUACGUGUUUUAAGUGGAAGCAUGAUUUGGUGUUUCGUGCACCAUUUCCCUUAUUUUGUCAGUAUUGUUUUAUAUAGCAUUUGAAUUCUUGUUGAUUGUUCGUAAUUGUGACGGAUUUAUUUUGAAAAUUUUGCUGAGUACUUAGAGGGCCCAAGGAAAAUAGAUUUGGAUUUAGCCGUUCUUUUACCCUAAGUAUUUUCAGAGAAAAUGGCCCUAAGUGAAGUUUUUGAUUGUAAAUAUAUUAAAGCAAAAAAGUAUCUUCUGCAAUAGUUCUCCUUUUAGCAGUAGCUACACAUUCUAUUAGAGCUGGACCUACACUGAUAUAGUGCUUGAAUAAAAUUUACUUUUUGUACAGCAGCUGACUACAGUUAUGCUGUAGUAAAUCACUUCUAGACCAAAUUUUUCUAAUUAUUUAUGAAAUCUUCAAAAAUACAUGAAUCCAUAAUGAAGUGAGAAUUCAAAAGAUGUACUCUUGCAAAGAGUGUUCUUUACGUAGGAUUUCUGGGGGACUUGUUACUUUUCUCCAAAGGAGGAAUUAGGGCUCCUACCCUUUUCUUAAUGUUUUUACACAGACUUUAACUUUGCUAAGAAAAUAAAUAUUUUUAUAUAUCCACAGGUAAAUAUGUCUGCACAUAUAUUUUAGUUUCUAUAUGUGUAUAAGUAGUCAUAUCCAUUACCGGUCCAUCUUUCAAUGUAGGAUUUUUUCCUAAACUUGCAAUAACAAACUUCAGUGCCAAUUUGUCCUUUGUGUUUUGAAGUCUUCACUCCUUAGUACUGGUUGGAAGCAGUGGGACUUUAAUUUUCCUGAUUAAAAAGAAAGUAUUACUUUCAGUAACUUACUCUUUUUUGUCUAAAGCAACUUAAUGCUUGUACAUGAGUCAUGAUCUAUAGAAUUGCUAUUCCAGUCAGAAUCUCAUACUUUUGGAUGUGUUUUAUUCAGUGAGGCAGUGUUGGCUGGAGUAAACCCUGCUCCAGGCAAAAGUGCCCCAAAUGCUUCAGUUUCUGCUUGUUCAGACACCAGAAGCACACAGAAGCCAUCAAGUGCUCCUGCCUGGGAUGGUGCCACGGAGCGUGCGAUGGCGGCAUGCUGCGAAUGGGGCUGUCAGCCCAUGCUCAGAUCUUGCAAUGAGAUCUGCUCACAUGCAUAUUUUAUGUUUUUUAUUAUAUUUUUUUGCUAUAAGACAAGCUCUUAGCUGAAUAGAGCUACUGGUUCUUGUAAUAGGACAAAUUACACAACCUAAAAGACAGUAUCUGCUGCACAUUGUAAUUGGUUGCAUCCUUUUUUUUUU